UACGGAGGGAGCUAGCGUUAUUCGGAAUUACUGGGCGUAAAGCGCACGUAGGCGGCUUUGUAAGUCAGAGGUGAAAGCCUGGAGCUCAACUCCAGAACUGCCUUUGAGACUGCAUCGCUUGAAUCCAGGAGAGGUGAGUGGAAUUCCGAGUGUAGAGGUGAAAUUCGUAGAUAUUCGGAAGAACACCAGUGGCGAAGGCGGCUCACUGGACUGGUAUUGACGCUGAGGUGCGAAAGCGUGGGGAGCAAACAGGG
rnacentral:rRNA from 1 species